GACGAACCGUGCGAACGUUGUUCGGAAUCACUGGGCUUAAAGGGCGCGUAGGUGGUUGAUCAAGUCUGGGGUGAAAUCUUUCGGCUUAACCGGAAAAGUGCCUUGGAUACUGGUCAGCUGGAGGGAGGUAGGGGCAGUUGGAACUUCCAGUGGAGCGGUGAAAUGCGUUGAUAUUGGAAGGAACGCCGGUGGCGAAAGCGAACUGCUGGACCUCUUCUGACACUGAUGCGCGAAAGCUAGGGGAGCAAACGGG
rnacentral:rRNA from 1 species